GCGGGUGUAGUCUAGUGGUUAGGACGGAGGCUUCCCAAGCCCCUGACCCGGGUUCAAAUCCCGGCACCCGCACUA
rnacentral:tRNA from 1 species